UCCGAAUUGGUGUAGUGGCCAACAUUUGACGCUCUCAUGUUCGUAGAACAGAACCGUCAAGCCCGGGGUUCGAUUCCCCGAUUCGGAG